UUUUGCGCAAAUACAGAUGAAACUUUAUUAUACCUGUGAAUGUGACACGGGAAACUUUACCGCACAACCAAAAUGACAUUUGACGACGAUAUGAUAUAUGCUCGUACUUUUGAGUAAUAUACUUAGUUUCAAUCUGUUGCCAUCAAUGGCUAAAUACAUGAACUAAUAUUCCCGUAACAACAUGAUUAUGAUGAUAAAUACAUCACAUCUAUAUCGAUGCAUUCAUCUUCAAACAAAUUAAAUGACCUUUGACCGAAAAGAUGUGGUAAACUGCAUCCAAGUUCACCAUAUGUGGUAGAUAACAUCUUCUCNN
rnacentral:lncRNA from 1 species